GUCAGCACCCCGCUCUAAAGAGACGGGGCAUCAUGCCUCUCUUUUUAGGUAGCUGACCAGCCUAAGUCCCUUGAGGGCUACGUUAUCGGCAAGAGUUAAAGUUCCUACCCUGAGAUGCGUGGCCAGUCUCCGGCUCUAGAAUCACAGCAUUAAACAGUUUUACGAGGGGUAAGACAGUGUGUUGUGGAAAGUACCGACCGAUAACAUUGGCGAGGCAAACAUUACCCUAGAAAUGGG
rnacentral:ncRNA from 1 species